rnacentral:rRNA from 1 species
AAACCAACUGGGAUUACCUUAGUAACGGCGAGUGAAGCGGUAAAAGCUCAAAUUUGAAAUCUGGUACUUUCAGUGCCCGAGUUGUAAUUUGUAGAAUUUGUCUUUGAUUAGGUCCUUGUCUAUGUUCCUUGGAACAGGACGUCAUAGAGGGUGAGAAUCCCGUUUGGCGAGGAUACCUUUUCUCUGUAAGACUUUUUCGAAGAGUCGAGUUGUUUGGGAAUGCAGCUCAAAGUGGGUGGUAAAUUCCAUCUAAAGCUAAAUAUUGGCGAGAGACCGAUAGCGAACAAGUACAGUGAUGGAAAGAUGAAAAGAACUUUGAAAAGAGAGUGAAAAAGUACGUGAAAUUGUUGAAAGGGAAGGGCAUUUGAUCAGACAUGGUGUUUUUGCAUGCACUCGCCUCUCGUGGGCUUGGGCCUCUACAAAAUUUCACUGGGCCAACAUCAAUUCUGGCAGCAGGAUAAAUCAUUAAGAAUGUAGCUACUUCGGUAGUGUUAUAGCUUUUUGGAAUACUGUUAGCCGGU